AUGUCGUUCCAGUUCGCUAUUUUUUACCUCUUUAAUAAAACGGUAAAGGUGGAAAGUGUGAAAUGUCAAAGUCUUGAGUCAUUACAAACAACAGUGCAGAAGAAACCUGGCGACACGCUGAGUCUCUCCUGCAGAGGAUCUGGAUUCACUUUUAGCAGCUACCAAAUGCACUGGAUCAGACAGCAGGCAAACAAACCACUGGUGUGGAUGGGGUACAUCUAUACUGAUGGCAGUAAAACUGGAUAUAGUACAUCUUUUGAAGGGAGAACAGAAAUCACCAGAGAUAAUUCCAACAGCAUGGCGUAUCUGAAACUCUCUGGGGUGACAGCAGAAGACACAGCUGUGUAUUACUGUGCCCGAAGAGCACUGUAG